UACAGGGGGGGGCAAGCGUUGUUCGGAAUUACUGGGCGUAAAGGGUUUGUAGGUGGCUUGCUCAGUCAGACGUGAAAUCCCUCAGCUUAACUGGGGAACUGCGUCUGAUACUAGCGAGCUUGAGUGCAGGAGAGGAACGCGGAAUUCCAGGUGUAGCGGUGAAAUGCGUAGAUAUCUGGAGGAACACCGGUGGCGAAGGCG
rnacentral:rRNA from 1 species